AGAGUUUGAUCCUGGCUCAGGACAAACGCUGGCGGCGUACCUAAGACAUGCAAGUCGAACGGCCCUCCCGAGGGAGGGCAGUGGCGGACGGGUGAGGAACGCGUACGGAACCUACCGCAGGCAGGGGGAUAACCCUGGGAAACCAGGGCUAAGACCGCGUACGCUCGCACGGGGCAGGGCCGUGCGAGGAAAGGGGAGCG
rnacentral:rRNA from 1 species